rnacentral:rRNA from 1 species
UACGGAGGGAGCUAGCGUUGUUCGGAAUUACUGGGCGUAAAGCGCACGUAGGCGGCUUUGUAAGUUAGAGGUGAAAGCCUGGGGCUCAACUCCAGAAUUGCCUUUAAGACUGCAUCGCUUGAAUCAUGGAGAGGCGAGUGGAAUUCCGAGUGUAGAGGUGAAAUUCGUAGAUAUUCGGAAGAACACCAGUGGCGAAGGCGGCUCGCUGGACAUGUAUUGACGCUGAGGUGCGAAAGCGUGGGGAGCAAACAGG